AAGUCGUAACAAGGUAUCCGUAGGUGAACCUGCGGAUGGAUCAUUCAUGAGAGGACUACCAUGUGCACUUGUUGUGCAUGUGUGUCCGACUGUCCUGUGCAAUGUUUACUGGUGUAACACUCUGGUGCGUUACCAAAUGUGCCAGAUGUUUUUUCUUUCAACUCGUUUAUUCAUUCCAUACAUUUCUGAUACAUACAUAAAGAACCUUGAAAACUGCCAGCAACGGAUCCCUCGGUUCUC
rnacentral:misc_RNA from 1 species